rnacentral:misc_RNA from 1 species
GAUGAAGAACGUAGCGAAAUGCGUUAAGUAAUGUGAAUUGCAGAAUUCAGUGAAUCAUCGAAUCUUUGAACGCACAUUGCGCCCGCCAGUAUUCUGGCGGGCAUGCCUGUUCGAGCGUCAUUACAACCCUCAGGCCCCCGGGCCUGGCGUUGGGGAUCGGCGGAAGCCCCCUGCGGGCACAACGCCGUCCCCCAAAUACAGUGGCGGUCCCGCCGCAGCUUCCAUUGCGUAGUAGCUAACACCUCGCAACUGGAGAGCGGCGCGGCCACGCCGUAAAACACCCAACUUCUGAAUGUUGACCUCGAAUCAGGUAGGAAUACCCGCUGAACUUAAGCAUAUCAAUAAGCGGAGGA